rnacentral:rRNA from 1 species
GUUUGUUGAAAACACGGUGGUAUAGGAUGGACCCGCGUCUGAUUAGCUGGUUGGCGGGGUAAGGCCCACCAAGGCGACGAUCAGUAGCCGGCCUGAGAGGGUGGACGGCCACAUUGGGACUGAGACACGGCCCAAACUCCUACGGAAGGCAGCAG